rnacentral:rRNA from 1 species
GACGAACGCUGGCGGCGUGCUUAACACAUGCAAGUCGAACGAUGAACCCGGAGCUUGCUCCGGCGGAUUAGUGGCGAACGGGUGAGUAACACGUGAGUAACCUGCCCUUGACUCUGGGAUAACUGCGGGAAACUGUAGCUAAUACCGGAUACGACCCUCGGCGGCCUCGCCAGGGGGUGGAAAGAAUUUCGGUCAAGGAUGGACUCGCGGCCUAUCAGCUAGUUGGUGAGGUAACGGCGCCCCAAGGCGACGACGGGUAGCCGCCUGAGAGGGUGACCGGCCACACUGGGACUGAGACACGGCCCAGACUCCUGCGGGAGGCAGCAGUGGGGAAUAUUGCACAAUGGGCGCAAGCCUGAUGCAGCAACGCCGCGUGAGGGAUGACGGCCUUCGGGUUGUAAACCUCUUUUAGUAGGGAAGAGGCGAAAGUGACGGUACCUGCAGAAAAAGCACCGGCUAACUACGUGCCAGCAGCCGCGGUAA